rnacentral:rRNA from 1 species
GACGAACGCUGGCGGCGUGCUUAACACAUGCAAGUCGAACGGAAAGGCCCUGCUUUUGUGGGGUGCUCGAGUGGCGAACGGGUGAGUAACACGUGAGUAACCUGCCCUUGACUUUGGGAUAACUUCAGGAAACUGGGGCUAAUACCGGAUAGGAGCUCCUGCUGCAUGGUGGGGGUUGGAAAGUUUCGGCGGUUGGGGAUGGACUCGCGGCUUAUCAGCUUGUUGGUGGGGUAGUGGCUUACCAAGGCUUUGACGGGUAGCCGGCCUGAGAGGGUGAACGGCCACAUUGGGACUGAGAUGCGGCCGAGACUCCUACGGGAGGCAGCAGUGGGGAAUAUUGCACAAUGGGCGGAAGCCUGAUGAGCAACGCCGCGUGGGGGAUGACGGCCUUCGGGUUGUAAACCGCUUUCGCCUGUGACGAAGCGUGAGUGACGGUAAUGGGUAAAGAAGCACCGGCUAACUACGU